rnacentral:rRNA from 1 species
GGUUGAUCCUGCCAGUAGUCAUAUGCUUGUCUCAAAGAUUAAGCCAUGCAUGUGUAAGUAUGAACUAAUUCAGACUGUGAAACUGCGAAUGGCUCAUUAAAUCAGUUAUAGUUUGUUUGAUGGUAUCUACUACUCGGAUAACCGUAGUAAUUCUAGAGCUAAUACGUGGAAGGGAUGCAUUUAUUAGAUAAAAGGCUGACGCGGGCUAUGCCCGUUGCUCUGAUGAUUCAUGAUAACUCGACGGAUCGCACAGCCAUCGUGCUAUCGACGCAUCAUUCAAAUAUCUGCCCUAU